UUGUAGUGUUACAGCAUACAUAGCGCGAUCUGAACAAUUGUAGAUUAGCAACCAUAACAGACGUAAUUUAACUGCCCAUACAUUUUUUCAGUCGCUUAAUUAAUUUAAAACACAAACUUAUUUUUAAAAGCAUGCAUACCUUUUAAACUUAAACAAAAAACAUACAAUCUAAGAUAAAAAGUAGUCUUGUAUCAGCAAAAACCAAAAUGGCAAAAAGAAAUCAACCAGUUGUCUAUGCUCUAAAAGUAGGGUGGAGUUACUGUUAGAAAUACACAAGAAAAAUAAACCAGAAGUAUGGGAACUACAGUCCAAUAUCUAUUGAUAAUCUAAGCAUAAAUAGACCAUAUUUAUCUGCAAUGAUAUUGAUUUACAUAAAAGGCUCACUCUAGUUGAAACAUCUGUUGAUUCGCGAAGGUGCUGACAAUUUUUUUGGAUAGGUGGCUAGUUAAAUUUCCCUACAUAAAACAUUUCAAGUAGCACAUGCCAUUUCUUCAGAGUAUACAUGAAUGCAAGAUACAAGAAGAAACACUUGGAACCAAACAGAUUGGAGAAGAACCUUGCCAAAUUAAACAAAAUAAGUAAGCCUACAACAGAAGGGGAUUACAGUUACAGAUGCGCAUGGACAAAAUUCAUCUCAAGUGACAUGUUGCUUUCCUGUUCGCCUCACUCAUCUUGCUGCUUCUGAUCAAUCUAUGACCAGCUUCCUGUCGGCACUGAGAGCCGCGGGUGCCGUCUCACUGGGGCGAGUGAGCUCAGUGAGCGGCGGUCGUUAUGGGAGGCAGUCGCCAGCGAGAGGUGUGAGGAGGGACUGGUCCCAGAUUUCUAAUUUCAGAUAUUUUUUUCCUUUGGGUGAGAAGGUUAGAGAGAUUGUGUGACUAAUUACCCCAACCCACUGUCUGCAACCGCAAGUUGUGUGACUAAUCCUAAAUUUUCUUACAAUCAUGCAGAUUGAAAGACGUGUGAUGUCUCAUUUUUGUUGGUAAUAAAGUCCUUACUUUCUUAUAGAGAUAGUUUCUGACAGGUACGGUGUGCAAAGAGAUAUUUAUCAUACUUAGGCCUCAGCGUGGGCAUUCGGUUUAAACCGACCAUUCGGUUCGGUUUAAUCGGUUGUUCAAAAAUUCGGUUUCUCAAAAUCAACAACCGUUCGGUUGCCUACCAAAUCAAGAACCGAUGAGUUCGGUUUCGGUUUCUUCCCUUCGGUUGUCGGUUUCAACCGAAGAAACUGAGUUCACGGCAAUAGGCGGCGUGCGUACCUCGGCACCUCCCUCGCGGCUCUCUGCCUUCGCUUGCCUCGGUCGGACAGCCGCGCUCAAGGUGUCCGAUGUCGCGCCACCUCGCCCGCCGUAGACUCGUCAAUGAUGUGCAGGCGUCGCCGGGCGACUCAACCGCCGUGGAUGUGUCACCAUGCCGCGGCCUUGCGACCUCACCACAAUGCGCCGCCACGCGAUGCGCCCCGCCGGCCGCCGCCGAUGCGUAGGCGUCAUAGCCUCGUGGCCUGGCCUGGCCGGCCGUCGCUGAUUCAUCACCCCUGCCUAGCGCCCCGCAUCGAGCCCGACAUCGAUGAGCCGCCGCUCCAGCUCGAUCUAUUCUCGUGCUAUGGUGAAGUGAAGUUACGAUGAAAGGAUAAGAUGACACCGUGCCUGGGUGAGCGAGGGGAUGGAU
rnacentral:lncRNA from 1 species